rnacentral:lncRNA from 1 species
UUCAAAACCGGUACAAGAUGUCCAAGGUGGCGGUUUAUCCAUUCAAAAACAACAAAAUAUUAUUUAUAUUGAGCUACAUAUGCAAGUGAACAAUGCUCACUUCAGAGUAAUUGUAAGAGUAGCAUAAUUUGAGGGCACAAUGUUCACGGCUGGAAAAGUGGAGGCCGAACUCAUGCCCUGUUUCAAACUUAAAAGAUUGAAAUGAAGUAAAAUAUUUAACUCCGAUGAACUUGGAGAUUUUGCCAUUUGCCAUGUUUUUUCAUGAUCUUCACCUUUGUAAGCCUGGCUAUGUUCCUCUAUUUGAAUUCAACCACUCCAAGUAAAUUGUCGAAUGGAAAAGCCUCCAAUUUGAUCUAGAGUCCUGCACGUUUUGUUGAAUUUGUAAUUUUAUGGAUGUCUAUCUGUAGGUUAGCCAUAUAAUCUUUACGAGCCUCAUCCUGGUUGACUUUGUAUGCCGAUGCCAUUCAUACCAAUUAAAGAACAAGAAGGCUCCAGUGUAUAAGAGAAAACAACAAAAACAUGCUCUCUAAAGUAGUUGGCAUACAAUUAAGAAAAUUCUUCCUAUUUGUUCUUUAUAGUUAUACCAAAUUACACAUAGGCCCGAAUCUUUGAAGUGGUGUCAUUAAAAGUAGAGGUCUAUGGGUCUACGUGAUGUGCAACAUAUGAUAUCUUCUAAAGAUGGCACGACAAGCCUGCUCGGAUGCCCAGUUAAGUUGUCAGUGGGAUAAACUCCAAGUACAGCAACCUCCAGAAAGAAUUUUGUUCGAUAGGUAAGCAUCCAGAUUGCACAUUUACAGGAUAUGAUAAUACCCAGUUCACUUGAUUUAUCGUAUCCCAAUCGCUUUGGGAUCCUAUGAAUUUAAAUGUCCCAAAUUGGUACAAAUUCUCUCCCACAUGGUCAACUUCUCCUGAAAACCAACCAUAUAUGGAUUAAUCCACAAAUAGGCUGUUUGAGCCGAAAAGGCCCCACAGGUUGUUGACCCACCCGAUAGAUGGGAUAAUACUUGUCAAUAGUGGUUAUCAUUAAUCAGCUAUAAUAUUGAUCUCUUAACCUAUGUUUCAGAAAUAUUGAUCUCUUAUAGAUUAGCUAACACCAACUACUAUGAACUGAGACAACAAACACACUGAAAAACAAUCUGAAUUUCAUCAAUUACAAAUAUUUCUGCACAAUAAAAUGUUCACCUUGAAGCAGUGAAAAAGAGAGGCACAAAACCAACCUUAUGUACUUCCAAGCUUGACAAUAGGCAGUCUGCAAAAUAAGAAUCCGUAGCAAGAUGACUGAACAUAAAGGAUGCAUAUGCAUCUAUUUCAAUUUGAUAUAAAGUAAAGAUAAUAACUAUACUCACUAUAUAUAAAAUUAUUGUUACUGUUGAAAAUUAAUAAGCAAAAAUGAAAAUACAUGACUCCCUAGAAUAACACUUAUCAGAAACAGUAACAAUAAUUAGAAUGUGCAUUCUGCACAUGCAUCUAGAAAACCUGACCUGAUUAACCAACUGAUUUUUGAAUUUUUCUGGAUGCAACUUGAACUCAGAAGGAAAAUGCAUAUGAUACUUGGGCAUCCAUCCCUAUUACAAAACAGAGAAUGUCAUUUGCACUCCACCCUCAACAAAAAAAAAAAAAAGCCAUUUGGUUUUACAUUUAAUAAAGAGUUAUUGAUGUAUCUCUUUGUUUUAAUAUUAAAAACUAUCAUAGAAAACCUAAAUAUCUUAGCAACUAGCAAGAUGAUACAUCAUCUUAGUAUUUAGUGAAAUAUUUAAAUAAAAAAGAACUACUGCCAAAAUUUUGGUAAGCACUCUCUACAAGCCUGCAUGUCGGCAUGAAGACUUUCACUUUCAAGCGGCAUACAUUUAGACAUUGAUAUUGUAUUAUGUGAAAUUUGGAUGCAAAUGAUCAUAUCGGAAGUGUUUAUACAAGAUUCAUUUU